rnacentral:lncRNA from 1 species
CUUGGCAUUUCCAAAUCCCAACUCCUUAAGCCCACGCCAAAUCUGCUCAGACCACCAUCUUCACUCUUGGCUGUGAAAAGCAGUGCCUUGAAGGAAAGAAACAGAUGGUCAAAGAGAGGUUUCGUCAAUCACAGCUCCCCUCCCCACUCCUGAAAAGACGAAGCCAUCAUUAAUUUCCAAAUAAUAGUAAAUCCUAGCAGGGGAUGAUGCCAACCGUCUGCAUAACCCGUGCCAGGCACUGGUGCUGUUUUGGCUUUAAAAGAAGGGGGAUGGCCAUGGUUCUUGAAAGAUUUCACCAAAACAUUCGCAGCAAACAUUAUCAAUGGAAGGAGUGAAAGCCGUGGACCAUUCAUAAGAGGUGUUCCAGCCCUCACACACAAGAGAAAACCAGAAACCACUGAGAUAAACACAAAUUCCUAAGAAGGCUGGGCUUGUGGCAGAGUUGUCUGUAUACAUGUGGGAACCAGGCUGGGGGAUAGGACAAAAUUAACGGGGUGAAGGGGCUAUGGCACCAAGGAGCUUGCCUGCCUAUGUGAAUGCACUCAGUUUAAAACAAUAAAACCAAAACAAAACCAAGGAAAAAAAAAAAGCUUGGGGUUAAGAACUAUAACAAGUGGUAAGCUGAUAAAUUUGGAAAAUUUUGUAGGAGAGAAGCCCCGAUUUGUAGCAUUUGCUUAUUUCCAUGGUGUAAAUAUUCCCAUCAUGGCCAAUUUUAAGCUAUUAAUAGUUUAACAACAGGUCAAAUCCUGGAACAUUCAAUUAAUCAGCUCUCUCAAGCCCAUACAAGACAUCUCCAGAGGACCACUGACCCUAGUUCUCUGCCGUCAAUGUAUUUCCCAGUCUUAUCUUCCCUAUUCUUGAAAUAAAAAUUACAAAUUAAAAAAAGAUAGGCCCGGCACGGUGGCUCACGCCUGUAACCCCAGCACUUUGGGAGGCCGAGGCGGGCAGAUCACGAGGUCACAAGAUCGAGACCAUCCUGGCUAACACAAUGAAACUCUGUCUCUACUAAAAAUACAAAAACAAAAUUAGCUGGGUGUGGUGGUGGGUGCCUGUAGUCCCAGCUACUCGGGAGGCUGAGGCGAGAGAAUGGUGUGAACCCGGGAGGCGGAACUUGCAGUGAGUCGAGAUUGUGCCACUGCACUCCAGCCUGGGCGACAGAGCAAGACUACAUCUCAAAAAUAAAAUAAAAAUAAAUAAACAAAUAGAGAUAGGUUUGAAUUGUGGACAAAUAGUUGAACACUGUGAUUCAAAUCCAAAGACUUCUCUGCAAUUUGGGUGUAUGAGUGCCUUCAGUGAGUGCACACUUAGAAUAGAACACCAUAAAACAGGGGUUCUCAAAGUGUUACAUGGGAACUCCUGUGUGUCUCCCAAAUCUUCCAUCUAAGAGGUAAAGACUAUUUUUAUAAUAAUUAUAAUAAUCUAUAAUUUUAAGAGAUUAAUUGUCUUUUUACUCUUAUUCUCCAAUGAGUGUACAGUGGAGUUUUCCAGAGGCUACAUUGACAUAUGAACAGUGUGAUAUUGUCACAGAUUAAUUGUAGGAGCAGAUUUAAGAUUCUACGUGUCUCUUAUGAAGCCUCACAUUAAAGAGAUUUGCAGAAAUAUACCAUAAUGACAUUCUUCUCAAUAUUUUGUUUAGUAUAAUAAUUUUUAUAAGUAUGCUAUUUAUGUUAACAUAAAAUGGG